rnacentral:lncRNA from 1 species
GGCUGUGGAUGGGACAGUCUCAAACUCCAUGUUCCCCCAGACCCAGGGCCCAUCCUGGCACCCAGCCCACAGUGGGCCCUGAGGAAGCAUGGACCUCCGGGGUAGCCAGAAUCCAUUCCUUCCCAUGUCAAGCCCUGUGCUGGGCCCACCCAGCCUCUUCUGUCCUGGGGAAAUCACCCCAGGGCUGGGGACCUGGCCCCAGGGCCCUCAUGGGAUGUUGUCACCAGGACCAAAAGCUGGGAGACCCAGAGCCAGAGAAUUAGGCUGAGAAUUGGGAGACAGAGCCUUCUUGGGACAGGUGACCUGCCUUGUACCAGCUGCCGUAUUCCCCAUAGGGGGCGCUGUCCCGGCGCUUAUCCUGGAGGAAAGAAUGGUCACAAGAAAGAUGAGCAGAACAGACCCUUGCACCUCAGGCCACAGCCCAAGACAUGUGCUAGGCCUGAAUGAUGGGCCAGGCUCCGAGGGACUCAGGAGCAGAUGACUGACCAUCCGGGGCCAGAGGUGGUUUCCCAGAGUGGGAGACACUGGGGCAGGCCCUCAAGGACUGCCAGGUUGUUUAGUGUCGCAGCCACCUGGAGGUGGGAGAACGGAAGCUUCUUGACUCAGGCCCUGCAGGACUCUGGGACCUGCAGGGGAUGGGGCACAGCCCCCACCUCCCACCCAACCCUCACUCACGGCUGGGUGGUCCUUGCCCAGUGUUUUCUCCCGGAUGGCCAGAGCAUCAUUGAGCAGCUCCUCACGCAGCCACUGGUUCUCCUGCACCAGACGCCGCACCUGCGCCCGCAGCUUCUGCUUCUCUGAUUCUACAGCCCCCAGGUGGCUCGACAAUGCCAAGAUCACCUGUGCAACCAGCCCAGAACUCUGCUAGAUGGCUGAAGGACCACCCAAAGACUCCAUCCCCACUUCUGCUGAGGGGCCACAGCAUCCCCUGCCUUUCUGCAGCUCCCAGGUCUUGCUGGACCUACCUCCAGAACAUCCAGAACUGGUCCCUUUUCUCCACCGUCAUAGCCACCCCUUAAUUCCAAGCAC